ACCCGGACCGGGGUGUAGAGGGAGUACGUGGUGCUGGAGCCACCGGUGAGCUGGUUGAACACCAGCUCCGGGCG
rnacentral:tRNA from 1 species